CGGCAAAAUCCCAGACACAUCGGGUGUGAUGUUCCCUUGUCAGAAUGAACAAAUCUGAAAUGAUGAUAAGCUUUAUUUUCCACUUCUAUUCUGCAAUAAUCUGUGAUCAGGAUAAAGAAGGGGAAAUAAUCAAAAUGAUUUAUUAGGGGUUGGCACAUGCAACAGAUACCAGUAUGCACACCAGAUUGUAGUUGCAUGAUGGCAAGAGACUCUGCAUGUCAGAAUCUGCAACAUGGCAAGACAUUGACAAUACAGAGGCUAAUGCACUUGAACAUGAGACUUCAAAACAGAAAGUUAUUUCAUGCAACCAACAGUCAGAACUUCAAGUUAGCUGAAAAUGGUUGGCCCAAAUCUGGUGUCUUUUCCACAAAUGUACUGCAAUGAAAUCUUGGUGGAGGGCAGUACAGGAUCUGCAGAGUGAUAGGCUGCCUGGAUGUCCCAUGGUGGCAGGUUACCAUUGGCUUGAAGUAGAUGACUGGCAUACUAAUGCAGGCCCGCACCAAGCCUAAUUGACGCCGUUGUGCAAAUGUCUAAUGAGCACCUUUAUGCAGUGGCGAUAUUAGAGGAAAAUUGUUUAUGGUUAACACUUGAAAUGAAGUUUUAUUGACAUAAA
rnacentral:lncRNA from 1 species